AAAUGGGAUUCCUUAAGUAAUUGCGAAUGAACAAGGAAAUGCUCAGCUUGAAAAAUGGGGCCUUUGGCUUUGAAUUGUAAUUUUGAAAUGUAUUGCCAAUGGAGGCGCAGGUGCAAGCCUAUUGAAAGAAAGCGUCAAUGAGGGUGAGAUUCCUUUUUGUCAUUUGCAGUCCUCCGUGCACGGUAUAUAUUUGACGAGUCACACUCCUCGGCAUUGGAAUGCAAAGUGGGUGGUAAAUUCCAUGUAAAGGUAAAUAUAUUAUUGAGACUGAUAGCAAACAAGUACCAUGAGGGAAAUAUGAAAAGGACUUUGAAAAGAGAAUUAAAAGAGUCUGCAUUUGCUGAACAGAAAGCAAACAGAAUUGAUUUUACUUGGUGAGAUUGUUGUGCUUACUCUAUCAUUAUAUGGUUGAUGUGGGUGCGAUGGUUCUUACCUUGAAUGUCAGCUUCUAUUUCUGCAAAUCAUUACCCUUGCACAUGAAUGGUAAUUUGCCUGCGGGUAUUGGAAUGCAUGUGUUUGCAAUGAUUUGUGAUUUGACGCAUGUGUUUGGUGAAAUUUGUAUAUGCUCUUUUGUCGAAGGGGAAAGCUUACUUUUUUGAGCAUUGCAAGCCCUUACACAUCAGUGCUGGCAAAAUGUUUCUGCUUGACCCG
rnacentral:rRNA from 1 species